GUGUCGCAGCAGACCCUUCGCACGGUCACCACCAGCAUGGCAUCAGCAAGCCUCCAGGCCUAGGCGUUCGGAUCACGCCGAGUCUAUGGCCCUGUCAGACACCCAACCGGACCUCCGCACACCGGGAUUUUACGCCGAUGUUGAGGCGACAGCCUUCAAUGCUGCGGCACCAGCACACAGCCAAUUCCAGUGAAUCCCGAGUUUUCUGCGGGCGCACCGGCCUCGCCUCCCCGUGAGUUGCCACGAGUGCCAUCUAACACAUCGCAAAACAUCACAUCAGCUGAACGCAGGUACUCCACUGGCGAAAAGGAAGCUUUGGCUUGUUUAUGGGCUUGCGAAAAGUGGCAUGUCUACCUCUGGGGAAGAAAGUUCACACUUUUGACGGACCACCAGGCACUGGCUACUCUUUUGUCUGAAAGGGCUCUGGGAGGAAACCACUGAGAAUAGGUAGGUGGACAGCUCGUCUUCUCAACUACACAUUCACCGUCCAGUACCGCAAAGGCGAGCAGAAUAAGGUAGCAGAUGC
rnacentral:lncRNA from 1 species